UUUGCAAGUCAAAAAUACCACUGUAACUUUACAGUUUGCCUUUAUUACUCAACCACAGUACAACACAUCUUCCAGCUAAAAAAAAAAUACCCAAAACACACACGCACACACACCUUACAUCAUAAGGGGACACACCAUAACCUCUUUAUACAGACGUGUACCUGGAAAUAUACAGUAAUUUUCUUGCAAAUCUUAAUACAGAUAUGUGACUUAGUGUGUAAUACAGCAAAUUAGCUUCAUAUCACUAUUCAAAAUUGUGAGUCGGCAUAGAGCAUUAGAGUUCUCAGAUAAGGUUGUGCUGUUACUGAAAGUGCAAACCCUUCAAAUGAUCAUCAUGUGGAGGUUUGUGUGAGUCUGACAGAGAAAAUACUCUGUCCAGUUCUCACAAAGGUUUGACAUUAUUGCUCAGUAGUUCAGAGAUGUGAAUACUAACCCUUUACAUUAGAGCUCUAAAAAGCAAAUAAAAAAAAUUCAACAUCCUAACAUCCUUUUUAUAUAUUAGGCUAACGUGAACUAUAAAGAAAGUCAUAUAAUAUACACUGAAAAAACUGCACGCUAUAAUUAGUCGAUUUUCUUUUCAUAUCUUAUUACAUGCAUACUGUAAGUGGCACACCACCUGCUUUAGCACAAAGUUUGCUAUGCUCUUUAUGACACAGAUGUCAACAUGAAAAUGUAUUUUUCCUACUGUCUGUGGUUCCUAAGAUUAAUGUAAAGCAGGGGUUUUUUACUGGCAUUAUUUGAGACAAAUAUGUGUGUUGUCAGCCAAAGGAAAGAAAAAAAACUUAAAUGUUCCUGAGUACACACUGAUUUUUACAAGUGUUGGGGUCUUAAUGUCAGUCAUAAAAACUGUCUUAAGAACUGCAGGCGUCAUGAUAAAAAAUGAGUGACCUUAAGGGAUGCAUAGCAAACUACAUGUUAAAGAGGUUGUAAUGUCCUUUUAAAGAAAUAGUUCACCUGAAAAAAUGACUUAUGGUGUUACUAACUCAUCUGACGUCUUAAAUUGAAGAAUUUCUGAGCUGUUUUUGAUAGUGAAAGUAUAUAUUGACAAAAAAAAAAAAAUACAAUUAAUGUAUCAUAACCAUAAGCCAUACAGUUGAUAAAUUCUCAAUUUAAAGAGACACA
ensembl:lncRNA